rnacentral:sRNA from 1 species
AUUCUGCCCAUGCGGGGAAGGAUGAGAAGCUUCGACUAAGGUUCGACUUGAGCGCCAGCGAGAGAGCGUUGCCGCAGGCAACGACCCGAAGGGCGAAGCGCGCAGCGCUGAGUAAUCCUUCCCCACCACCA